rnacentral:lncRNA from 1 species
ACACCACAUCAAGGGAGAACCCCUUGGAACAAAAGUAUCUGAACAGCAGCCCUUGAGUCCCAUGUCUCCCCUCUGACACAGUCACCCAAAUGAGAAGGAACCAGAAAAACAAUUCUGGUAAUAUGACAAAACAAGCUCUUUAACAACCCCCAAAAGAUCACACCGGCUCACCAGCAAUGGAUCCAAACCAAGAUAAAAUAUCUGGAUUGCAAGAAAAAGAAUUCAGAAGGUUAAUUAUUAAGCUAAUCAAGGAGGCACAGAGAAAAGUGAACUCCAACUUAAAGAAAUCGAAAACCUGAUACAGAAUAUGAAAGGAAAAUUCUUCAGUGAAAUAGCGUAAAUAAAAAAUGAUCACAACUUCUAGAAAUCAAAGAAACACUUAGAGAAAUGCAAAAUGCACUGGAAAGUCUCAGCAACAGAAUCGAACAAGCAGAAAAAAGUACUUCCGAGCUUGAAGACAAGGCUUUCGAGUUAACCCAAUCCAUCAAAGACAAAGAAAAAAGAAUUUUAAAAAAUGAGCCAAGCACAGCAGCCCUCGGGGCUGCUCUAUGGAGUAGCCAUUCUUUUGUUCCUUUACUUUCCUAAUAAACUUGCUUUCACUUUACUCUAUGGACUCACCCUGAAUUAUUUCUUGCAUGAUAUCUAUGAACCUUUUACCACUUCUAUUCAACAUAGUACUGGAAGUCCUAGCCAGAGCAAUCAGACAAGAGAAAGAAAUCAAAGGUAUCCAAAUCAGUAGAGGAAGUCAAACUGUUGCUGUUUGUUUGCUGAUGAUAUGAUUGUAUACCUAGAAAACCCCAAAGACUCAUCCAAAAGCUCCUCGAACUAGUACAUGAAUUCAGCAAAGUUUCAGGAUACAAAAUUAAUGUACACAAAUCAGUAGCUCUGCUAUACAGCAACAGCAACCAGGCUGAGAAUCAAAUCAAGAACUCAAGCCCUUUUACAAUAGCUGCAAAAAUAAAAUAAAAUAAAAUACUUAGGAAUACACCUAACUAAGGAGGUGAAGACCUCUACAAGGAAAACUACAAAACACAGAUGACACAAACAAAAGGAAACAUGUCCCAUGCUCAUGGAUGGGUAGAAUCAAUAUUGUGAAAAUGGCCAUAUUGCCAAAAGCAAUCUACAAAUUCAAUACAAUUCCCAUCUAAACACCACUAUCAUUCUUCACAAAACUAGAAAAAAAAAAU